rnacentral:rRNA from 1 species
UGGGGAAUAUUGCACAAUGGGCGCAAGCCUGAUGCAGCAAUGCCGCGUGAGUGAAGACGGCCUUAGGGUUGUAAAACUCUUUCGCUAGGGAAGAUAAUGACGGUACCUAGUAAAGAAGUCCCGGCUAACUCCGUGCCAGCAGCCGCGGUAAUACGGAGGGGACUAGCGUUGUUCGGAAUUACUGGGCGUAAAGAGUUCGUAGGCGGACUAGCAAGUUAGAGGUGAAAUCCCAGGGCUCAACCUUGGAACUGCCUCCAAAACUAUUGGUCUAGAGUUCGAGAGAGGUGAGUGGAAUUCCAAGUGUAGAGGUGAAAUUCGUAGAUAUUUGGAGGAACACCAGUGGCGAAGGCGGCUCACUGGCUCGAUACUGACGCUGAGGUGCGAAAGUGUGGGG